UGGUAUUCUCAAUCAAGGGUUUGGGUUUAGGUUUUUUUCUUGCAUUUGAAUGAGAAUAAAUUAUGACAGUAUAUUUAGCAUUUGUUUAGGGAGAAGGAUUUGUGGUUCUACUGGAGAAUGCUGAGCAAGGAGAUGACUCUGAAGCUGUGGGGGAGCACUGUGUUCUGGAUUACCUGUCACUGAGAGCAAGCACCUAUCACUUCAGCAUUACAACAAAGGAGAAAUGGAAGGCUGCCUUCUCUGCUCCCAGUUUUUGUAACUUCUUGUUUUGAUCUAGUCAGCCAACUCUGUGCAUUUUCUGGAAUUCAGAUGGGCCAUCUGCUACCCACACAUUCAAGAAGAAAGCCACACAAAAAGGCAGCAAGGAUGAUGUUUUCCCAUGCAAGCUGAAGUGACUCUCACUUUUGAGCUCUUAGAAGAAUAAACAACCUUCUGCAGAUGCAGAAGAAAGGCAGAGAAAUAUUAGAUGACUUACCCACAGUCUGCAGCAGGU